rnacentral:lncRNA from 1 species
UGGGCUGGUUUCCUGCAUGUCUUUUAAGUAUUUGCUUUUAGUUUCCGUGUUUUGGUGUUUUGUUUGUUCGUUUUUUUUUUUUUUUUGUUUUUACGACAAUGCCUUCUAGGGGAACAGUGUCGCUGGGCUGGGCGGUGGAGAGACACCUUUGGCACCAUCGUGCGAUCUCAUGCACCCUACCAGUGAUCAACCCUUUGAGUCUGGCUUAGCUCAGGCAG